GUUGUCCUACGGGGCGCAGCAGUGAGGAGUAUUGGUCAAUGGUCGGGAGACUGAACCAGCCAAGCCGCGUGAGGGAUGAAGGUACAGAGUAUCGUAAACCUCUUUUGUCAGGGAACAAAGGCGGGGACGCGUCCCCGGAUGAGUGUACCUGAAGAAAAAGCAUCGGCUAACUCCGUGCUAGCAGCCGCGGUAAUACGGAGGAUGCGAGCGUUAUCCGGAUUUAUUGGGUUUAAAGGGAGCGCAGGCG
rnacentral:rRNA from 1 species